rnacentral:rRNA from 1 species
GACGAACGCUGGCGGCGUGCUUAACACAUGUAAGUCGAGCGGAGCGGCGAACGGGUGAGCAACGCGUGAGUAACUGCCCCCCUCUCUGGGAUAACAGUUGGAAACGGCUGCUAAUACCGGAUAGUGGGGGAUGAUUCGCGUCCUGUCAGCUUGUUGGUGGGGUAGUGGCCUACCAAGGCGACGACGUGUAGCCUGCCUGCGAGGGCGACCGGCCACAUAGGGCUGCGAUACGGCCCACAAUCAUACGGUGGUCAGCCGUGGGGGAUGUUGCACCAUGGGGGAAACUCUGAUGCAGCAACGCCGCGUACGGGAUUACGGCCUUCGGGUUGUAGGCCGCUUUCAGCCGUGACGCGGUGGUGGCAGUAGGAGCACCGGCUAACUACGUGCCAACAACCGCGGUAAUUC